rnacentral:rRNA from 1 species
CAGUAGCCGCGGGAAUACGUAGGUGACAAGCGUUGUCCGGAAUUAUUGGGCGUAAAGGGCUCGCAGGCGGUUUCUUAAGUCUGAUGUGGAAGCCCCCGGCUCAACCGGGGAGGGUCAUUGGAAACUGGGAAACUUGAGUGCAGAAGAGGAGAGUGGAAUUCCACGUGUAGCGGUGAAAUGCGUAGAGAUGUGGAGGAACACCAGUGGCGAAGGCGACUCUCUGGUCUGUAACUGACGCUGAGGAGCGAAAGCGUGGGGAGCGAACAGGAUUAGAUACCCCGGUAGUCCCUGUCUCUUAUAC